rnacentral:tRNA from 1 species
GCAGCAGUGGUUCAGUGGUAGAAUCCUCACCUUCUAUGCAAGCAAUUUGGGUUCGAUUCCCGGUCACUGCA